UGGGGAAUAUUGCACAAUGGGCGCAAGCCUGAUGCAGCCAUGCAGCGUGUAUGAAGAAGGUCUUCGGGUUGUAAAGUACUUUCAGCGGGGAGGAAGGGAGUAAAGUUAAUACCUUUGCUCAUCGACGUUACCCGCAGAAGAAGCACCGGCUAACUCCGUGCCAGCAGCCGCGGUAAUACGGAGGGUGCAAGCGUUAAUCGGGAUUACUGGGCGUAAAGCGCACGCUGGCUGUCUGUCAAGUCGGGUGUGAAAUCCACGGGCUCAACCUGGGAACUGCAUUCGAAACUGGCAGGCUAGAGUCUUGUAGAGGGGGGUAGAAUUCCAGGUGUACCCGUGCGAUGCGUAGAGAUCUGGAGGUAUACCUGUGGCGCAGGCGGCCCCCUGGACAAAGACUGACGCUCAGGUGCGAAAGCGAGGGGUGCAAACAGG
rnacentral:rRNA from 1 species